UACGUAGGGUGCGAGCGUUGUCCGGAAUUAUUGGGCGUAAAGAGCUCGUAGGCGGUGUGUCACGUCGGCCGUGAAAACCUGCAGCUUAACUGUGGGCGUGCGGUCGAUACGGGCAUCACUGGAGUUCGGCAGGGGAGACUGGAAUUCCUGGUGUAGCGGUGAAAUGCGCAGAUAUCAGGAGGAACACCAGUGGCGAAGGCGGCUCACUGGACCGGUUCUGACGCUGAGGCGCGAAAGCGUGGGGAGCAAACGGG
rnacentral:rRNA from 1 species